CCCUUAGAUGUUCUGGGCUGCACGCGCGCUACACUGACGCACGCAACAGGUGCCUGCUCCGAGAGGACUGGGUAAUCAUUUGAGUGUGCGUCGUGAUGGGGAUAGAAUAUUGUAAUUAUUACUCUUCAACGAGGAAUUCCUAGUAAGCGCCAGUCAGCAGCUUGCGCUGAUUACGUCCCUGCCCUUUGUACACACCGCCCGUCGCUCCUACCGAUGGGUGAUCCGGUGAAUGAUUCGGACUUCAGCGGCUCCCCUGGGGUGCACCGGAGAAAGUUUUGUGAACCUUAUCACUUGGAGGAAGGAGAAGUCGUAACA
rnacentral:rRNA from 1 species